UCNUCUGGCUUAACUGGGGGCUUGCGGUGGGUACGGGCCGGCUUGAGUGCGGUAGGGGAGACUGGAACUCCUGGUGUAGCGGUGGAAUGCGCAGAUAUCAGGAAGAACACCGGUGGCGAAGGCGGGUCUCUGGGCCGUUACUGACGCUGAGGAGCGAAAGCGUGGGGAGCGAACAGGAUUAGAUACCCUGGUAGUNCACGCCGUAAACGUUGGGCACUAGGUGUGGGGGGCCUUUUCCGGGUCUUCCGCGCCGUAGCUAACGCGUUAAGUGCCCCGCCUGGGGAGUACGGCCGCAAGGCUAAAACUCAAAGGAAUUGACGGGGGCCCGCACAAGCGGCGGAGCAUGCGGAUUAAUUCGAUGCAACGCGAAGAACCUUACCAAGGCUUGACAUGUGCCGGUCGGCUCCGGAGACGGGGUUUCCUCCUUGUGGGGCCGGUUCACAGGUGGUGCAUGGUUGUCGUCAGCUCGUGUCGUGAGAUGUUGGGUUAAGUCCCGCAAGGAGCGCAACCCUUGUCCCGUGUUGCCAGCACGUUGUGGUGGGGACUCGCGGGAGACUGCCGGGGUCAACUCGGAGGAAGGUGGGGAUGACGUCAAAUCAUCAUGCCCCUUAUGUCUUGGGCUUCACGCAUGCUACAAUGGCCGGUACAGAGGGCUGCGAUACCGUGAGGUGGAGCGAAUCCCUUAAAGCCGGUCUCAGUUCGGAUCGGUGUCUGCAACUCGACACCGUGAAGUUGGAGUCGCUAGUAAUCGCAGAUCAGCAACGCUGCGGUGAAUACGUUCUCGGGCCUUGUACACACCGCCCGUCACGUCAUGAAAGUCGGCAACACCCGAAGCCCGUGGCCCUACGGGGAGCGGUCGAAGGUGG
rnacentral:rRNA from 1 species